rnacentral:rRNA from 1 species
GUGGGGAAUAUUGGGCAAUGGGCGAAAGCCUGAGCCAGCAACGCCGCGUGAGGGAAGAAGGUUUUCGGAUUGUAAACCUCUGUCCUAUGUGACGAAUAAAGUGACGGUAGCAUAGGAGGAAGCCCCGGCUAACUACGUGCCAGCAGCCGCGGUAAUACGUAGGGGGCGAGCGUUGUCCGGAAUUACUGGGCGUAAAGGGUGCGUAGGCGGUAGAUUAAGUUGGAUGUGAAACCCCCGUGCUUAACAUGGGGCGGUCAUUCAAAACUGGUUUACUAGAGUACAGGAGAGGGAAGCGGAAUUCCUAGUGUAGCGGUGAAAUGCGUAGAUAUUAGGAGGAACACCAGUGGCGAAGGCGGCUUUCUGGACUGUAACUGACGCUGAGGCACGAAAGCGUGGGGAGCAAACAGGAUUAGAUACCCGAGUAGUCC